UCAAGUUAUUAAGGGUGCAGGGCGGAUGCCUUGGCACUAGGAGCCGAUGAAGGACGUGAUAAGCUGCGAUAAGCUUCGGGGAGUUGCACGUAAACUUUGAUCCGAAGAUUUCCGAAUGAGGAAACUCACUUAGAGUAAUGUCUAAGUAUCAUUAAGUGAAUACAUAGCUUAAUGAGGGGAACUCAGGGAACUGAAACAUCUAAGUACCUGAAGGAAGAGAAAGAAAUUCGAUUCCGUAAGUAGCGGCGAGCGAACGCGGAUUAGCCCAAACCAAUAAAGUUUUCUUUAUUGGGGUUGCGGACAUAUCAUAACGAAGAGGUAUCGUAAUUGAAGAGGUUUGGAAAGACCCACCACAGAAGGUAAUAGUCCUGUAUGUUAAACGAGAAGACUUCAGAUAUGAUCCAGAGUACCACGGGACACGUGAAACCCUGUGGGAAGCAGGAGGGACCACCCUCCAAGGCUAAAUACUACCUAGUGACCGAUAGCGUAUAGUACCGUGAGGGAAAGGUGAAAAGAACCCCGGGAGGGGAGUGAAAUAGAACCUGAAACCCUGCACUUACAAGCUGUGGAAGCACAUUUCUUGUGUGACCGCGUACUUUUUGUAGAACGGGCCAACGAGUUACGUUAAGUAGCAAGGUUAAGCACUUAAGGUGUGGAGCCGUAGCGAAAGCGAGUUUUAACUGAGCGUUCAGUUACUUGACGUAGACCCGAAACCGGGCGACCUACCCAUGAGCAGGAUGAAGCGAAAGUAAAAUUUCGUGGAGGUCCGAACCCACGAGCGUUGAAAAGCUCGGGGAUGACUUGUGGGUAGCGGUGAAAUUCCAAUCGAGCCCGGAGAUAGCUGGUUCUCCCCGAAAUAGCUUUAGGGCUAGCCUCAAGGUGAGAGAUACGGAGGUAGAGCACUGAAUGUCCUAGGGGGUAUUGCACCUACCGAAGACUAUCAAACUCCGAAUGCCGUCAUCUUAUACUUGGGAGUCAGACUGUGGGUGAUAAGAUUCAUAGUCGAAAGGGCAACAGCCCAGAUCGUCAGCUAAGGUCCCUAAAUGUAAGUUAAGUGGUAAAGGAUGUGGGAUUGCACAGACAACCAGGAUGUUGGCUUAGAAGCAGCCACUCAUUCAAAGAGUGCGUAAUAGCUCACUGGUCGAGUGAUCCUGCGCCGAAGAUUUCCGGGGCUAAAACUUACUACCGAAGCUACGGCAUCAGUAAUGAUGGGUAGGGGAGCUUCCCAUACGGGUUGAAGCAUGACCGUAAGGACAUGUGGACAGAAUGGGAGUGAGAAUGUUGGCAUGAGUAGCGAGAUGUGGGUGAGAAUCCCACAGGCCGUAAACCCAAGGUUUCCAGGGGAAGGUUCGUCCGCCCUGGGUUAGUCGGGACCUAAGCUGAGGCCGAAAGGCGUAGGUGAUGGACAACAGGUUGAUAUUCCUGUACUACCGAUAACCGUUUGAGAGAAGGGAUGACACAGUAGGAUAAGCUAAGCACACUGUUGGUUAUGUGUGCCCAAGCAUUGAGGCAGUCAAAGUAGGCAAAUCCGCUUUGAUAAUGCUGGGAUGUGAUGGGGAGCGAAAUUUAGUAGCGAAGUAGCUGAUUUCACACUGUCAAGAAAAGUCUCUAUCGAGGUUAAAGGUACCCGUACCGCAAACCGACACAGGUGGGUGAGGAGAGUAUCCUAAGGCCAGCGAGAGAACUGUUGUUAAGGAACUCGGCAAAAUGACCCCGUAACUUAGGGAUAAGGGGUGCCACCAUCAGGUGGCCGCAGAGAAUAGGCCCAAGCGACUGUUUACCAAAAACAUAGGUUUCUGCUAAGUCGCAAGACGAUGUAUAGGAGCUGACGCCUGCCCGGUGCUGGAAGGUUAAGGGGAUCUGUUAGAGCAAUCGAAGCAGUGAACUUAAGCCCCAGUAAACGGCGGCCGUAACUAUAACGGUCCUAAGGUAGCGAAAUUCCUUGUCGGGUAAGUUCCGACCCGCACGAAAGGCGUAACGAUUUGGGCACUGUCUCAACAACAGACUCGGUGAAAUUGUAAUUCCGGUGAAGAUGCCGGAUACCUGCGACAGGACGGAAAGACCCCAUGGAGCUUUACUGUAGCUUGACAUUGGGUCUUGGUACUACAUGUACAGGAUAGGUGGGAGGCUUUGAAACCAGGACGCCAGUUUUGGCGGAGCCAUCCUUGGGAUACCACCCUUGUAGUACUGGGACUCUAACCAUAGGCCAUGAAUCUGGUCUUGGGACACUGUCAGGUGGGCAGUUUGACUGGGGCGGUCGCCUCCCAAAAGGUAACGGAGGCGCUCAAAGGUUCUCUCAGUACGGUCGGAAAUCGUACGUAGAGUGUAAAGGCAAAAGAGAGCUUGAUUGCAAGACAUACAGGUCGAGCAAGGAUGAAAAUCGGACUUAGUGAUCCGGUGGUUCUGCGUGGAAGGGCCAUCGCUCAACGGAUAAAAGCUACCCUGGGGAUAACAGGCUUAUCUCCCCCAAGAGUCCACAUCGACGGGGAGGUUUGGCACCUCGAUGUCGGCUCAUCACAUCCUGGGGCUGUAGUAGGUCCCAAGGGUUGGGCUGUUCGCCCAUUAAAGUGGUACGCGAGCUGGGUUCAGAACGUCGUGAGACAGUUCGGUCCCUAUCCGUCGCAGGCGUAGGAAAUUUGAGAAGACCUGUCCUUAGUACGAGAGGACCGGGAUGGACGUACCUCUGGUGUACCAGUUGUUCUGCCAAGGGCAUGGCUGGGUAGCUAUGUACGGAAUGGAUAAGCGCUGAAAGCAUCUAAGCGCGAAGCCAACUUCAAGAUAAGAUUUCCCACCGUAAGGGUAAGACCCCAGAAAGACUAUCUGGUUGAUAGGUCGAAGGUGUAAGUGCAGCAAUGUAUUUAGCUUAUCGAUACUAAUAGGUCGAGGACUUGACCAA
rnacentral:rRNA from 1 species